ACCGAAGCAGGUGCUUCGGAAGCCACUGAAGGCAGCAGAGACCCGGCGGUGACGGAUUGGAGAACUGCGGUUUGUCAGAGAUCAGCUGUGCUGCUCUGGCCUCAGCUCUGAAGUCCAACCCCUCCCAUCUGAAAGAGCUGGACCUGACUACAACUACAACCUGAAGGAUUCAGGAGUGAAGCAGCUGUGUGCUGGAUUGGAGAGUCCAAACUGUAGACUGGAGACUCUGAGAUGGAGGGGGGGGUAACAGAGAGAUCAGGAGGAGGAUGUUGGAGGACCAGCUGAGUCCUGAUGAUCCCGAGAGCUUGAAGCAGCAGCAGCACCUCUAACUGGGCCAUGUUACUGGGAGGUAGAGUGGAGAGACUGACUGAGGCUCUGCACGCUUCCACAUUAGCAACGCCACGUGGCCAUGAAAGAAGGAUGUCGGGCGAGCUGAUUGGCCGACAUUAGCCUCU